rnacentral:rRNA from 1 species
UUGCAUAAUGGGCAUACUAUAUAAUAUAAAAAUUCCUUUUCGCGAAAAGAUUUGAGCUAAUCUAAUUUUUAUUAUAGUAUUUAUAUAAUAUGUUACACUAUAUUAUUAAUAUAUUAGAUUAGGGGUGAUAGGCUUUUCAAAUAUCUUGAUAUCUUGAUUAGUAAGAAAGACUCUAAGAGUGGAGGCAUAUUAUUAAUAAUAAGGUUAAUAAUUAUUACUUAUAGUGAUGAAUUAAAAAUAUAUAACAUAAAAGUUAAUAUAUAUGGGAGAAAAACAUUAAAAGCAUUUUGCUAUGUGGGAAAUAUUACUAUGCAAAAAAUAACAAUACUUUGUGUCUCUAAUGUAAGUAUAUGUAAUAUAUAAAUUUAUUUUAAGGAACUCGGCAAAUACUUUCUUCAACUGUUUACCAAAAACAUAGCUUAAUGAGAGAUAUUAAGUAUUUUCUGCCCAAUGGGACAUUUAAAUGGCCGCAGUACCUUGACUGUGCAAAGGUAGCAUAAUCAAUUGGCCUUUAAUUGGGGUCUGGAAUGAAAGAAUGUAUGAAGAGAUACUGUCUAUUAUUAAUAUAUUUAAAUUGCUGAAGAAGUGAAAAUACUUCUAUAAUAAUAAAAGACGAGAAGACCCUAGAAAUUUUAUAUAAAGUGUAUUAUAUUUUUACUAUUAUUUUGUUGGGGCAACAGAAUAACAAUUUAACCUAUUUUAGUUUUACACGAAUUUUUUAUAAGGAUAGACAAAAUUACUCUAGGGAUAACAGCAUAAUUAUUUAAUAGUUUGUGACCUCGAUGUUGGACUAAGGAAGGCUUUAUUCAGAAGAUUAAACCACAUGUUCUGUUCGAACAAGUAUCCCUACAUGA